UCAAGAGCCUUCCUCAAAUGACCGACGGAAACUUUGAGCUGGCUGAUGCAAUGUCUUGAUGAACUUCUUUGGUAAUCGUGGGGGAGUUUCUGCAAAAGUCAUAAGACCUGGUGGUAAUGAGAAUUGUUUUCUCAAUGACUCAGGGGCUCAGUCAGCUGCCCUGCAGAGCCUCCAAGAAAUCUACCUGGCAGAACACAGCUGCGUGUGUUUC